UCUAAUCCUCUCAUGCUUUGUAAAAUUUUCAAUAGUGGUUACUUGUUCCUUAGGCAUAAUUCCUGUAGGAAGUGGUAACAACGCAAAAAGAGAAAGAUGACUAUGUUCACAUACAACUUCAAAUGUAGAAAUAUUAGUAGUCUUGUGGACUACUCUAUUGUAUGCAUGCUCAAUAGAAAAAGGAUACUCAUCCCAAGAAUUGUGGUUGUCUU
rnacentral:lncRNA from 1 species